UAGCAAGAAAAGGCACAGCUCCUCUGGACAGAAGAUGUGGCCUGUUGGAAGAAAAGCAGAACAAGUACUGUACUCUUCCUGGAGGGAAGCUUGGCUGAAGGUGGAGACAGUUUCGAAGGGAGCACAAGAAGCUUACACCACAAAGUGAUGAGUUAGGGAAGAUGUUUAUAAGUGGGAAAUUUAGAGUUAUCUUCCUACAUUUCAACUGCCAAGGCAAGUUUAAAUACAUGAUUUCAGUACAACUAACAGAGUGGAAAUAGCAUUUUGAAAUGACCCCAGCACUAUUAAUAAAGAUUAACUGUGAAUCUUGAAGGAACAACAGGGAAUGCCAGGACUAUAAUGUCGAAAGAAAGAACUAGCCGCCUCUGAAAAUGGAAGGAACCUGAGAAAAAUCUACUCCCUGGUCGCAUGGAGAGAUUGUUUACUUGGAAGUCACUUAAUAGACUAUAAAGUGGAGUCGGCACAACCAAAGUGAGCCUAAGAAAAUGGAGCUUUUGCACCAAUGUAGUCCUUUGAAAGUACAGAGAAGAACAAGGAAUUUCACACUUAUGCAAGUGUAAUUCAUGCCCAUCAACCUGUCCUAUGUAAGAUUUGAUGGUAUCUGCCCCAGAUGCUCUUGAUGCUGCCGGUUAUUGGGCAAAAAUAAUUUUACAUAUUUAUCAAUUGUACUGCUUCUGGCGAGAAAGAA